UACGUAGGGCGCGAGCGUUGUCCGGAAUUAUUGGGCGUAAAGAGCUCGUAGGCGGCCUGUCGCGUCGGUUGUGAAAGCUCGGGGCUCAACCCCGGGUCUGCAGUCGAUACGGGCAGGCUAGAGUUCGGUAGGGGAGAUCGGAAUUCCUGGUGUAGCGGUGAAAUGCGCAGAUAUCAGGAGGAGCACCGGUGGCGAAGGCGGAUCUCUGGGCCGAUACUGACGCUGAGGAGCGAAAGCGUGGGGAGCGAACAGG
rnacentral:rRNA from 1 species